AUGACUCCAGCUACCAUCAAGACAGAAGUAUACCCUGUCUGCACUCGGAAUGUGAUUGUUUCACAAACAACCAUUGGGACACUUCUCCGUGUCAAACAGCACUGUGCUUACUGUGAGUACUCCAGUGAUUGGUCGAGCCAGCCAAUGGUAAACAAUACACCAGCGGGAAACCUUAAAGCUCUGUGCAGCUGUUCUGUUCACUUGCUCAUCGAUAAUAACAUAGCGAUGUCAUAUUUUCACGUCACCCCUCAGGUUAUUAUAUGAAGCUGUAUUUUAUUUCUUAUAGUUCUUGGAUGCCUUCAAAAUCCAGGGGAUCUCGGAGUCGUGCUUCCACAAACAUCAGGCCAAGCCCCUUAUCCCAACCAUAAACUGGCAGUGGAAGAUUGAUCAGGAUGACGCUAUUGAAAAUGCCAUUGCUAAUGGAGCCGUGACUCUUGGUGUGGACAUGAGAGCUGAUUCACCUGGUAAUAAAUAACUCAUUAAUUAUAUGUAUGUGUGUGUAUAUAUAUAUAUAUAUAUAUAUAUAUAUAUAUAUAUAUAUAUAUAUAUAUAUAUAUAUAUAUAUAUAUAUAUAUAUAUUUAUAUAUAUAUGGAACUGCUGUCAGGCUUUGUUGACGUUGGCUUUGUGCAAAUUACACAAUUGUAGGACAUUCAGCAAAAUAUGGCAGCUACACCAUGAUGGAUCUCAAAGCCAAUAGGGUCAUAGACAUCCAACUAGUCCAGGUAAACAACUACACAAUAAAAACAUUUUGCUAUGUGAAUUACUAUACAUUGAUCUAAGUAUUUGUUUGUGUUUGCAGAGCAAUGAAGUUGGAAAGAGCCAAGGAAUGGAGAAGGAGGGAUUUGAAAGAAGCCUGUCUCUUCUUGAGGAAAGAGGUGUUGUGGUCCAGUCUUUGGUGAGUCACACAGGGGUACAGAAGUUUAUGAGGGAGCAAAAAAAGGACAUUAGACACUUUUUCAACCCUUGGCAUAUGGGUAAAGGUUGGCAUUUUGAAUAGAACAAAAACAGAACAAGUAUUUAAAACAGAAAAUUUCAGUUAGAGUGGUAGACAAUUAUAUUGGAAGAUUACAUAAAGUUAAUAUUUUAAGAUGCCCCAAAAAGGUUAAUAUAUCACAAACAAUUUUUUAUCAUAUAGCCCAAUACUGAAUCAGGGCUGCACAAUACAGAAUUUUUUUUUAUAUGCAAUAAAAUAUACUUAUUAUAAUUAUAAUGCUUAAAGUGUGUAAAACAAACUUAAAUUGUCUUUAAAAAUAUAUAACCUACAUGUGUUUCACAUUCUUUUUGUGUUAUUUUUACAUCAGUGUAACCCACGGGGUUCAGGUGAUCAUACAUUAGGUUUAUUUAACAACAGAAACUGAAUAAUUAAAUGUAAAACUAAAACACUGCUUAGUUUUCACUGUAAAAUAUACUCUGACAUUUAUUAAAGCUACAAAUGUUAUUCAGCCAAGAGGAGUGAGGGAUUUUCUCUGUCUUUUAUUCAUGACCCAGUUAUUGUAACCCAUUCCGAUAUGCAUUUCACAGAAUAUACAUGUGCGAUAUUUAACUGUUAAUUUGUAUGAACUGUGUUUUGUGUAUAGUACUUAUUAAAUUAAUCAACUGGACUUAACACUCUUGGUCUUGUCGUAUUUCAAAGCUAUACCUUCGGUAUCUCCCUACAACACACAUUCACUAGGAUAAUUCUUAAUGGGAUUUUUUCCCUUUCCUUUACAUGACUUUUACUUUCAUACCUUAAGUCAUUUUUAAAACCAGUACUUUUACUUGAGUAAAAAGCUUGAGUUGAUACUUCAACUUCUACAAAAGUCUUUUUAAAUCCUAGUUUCUAAUGAAUGAGUAAUAAAGGUAAAUUAUUUUGACCCCAGUGACUUUUGCACAUUUUUUAAAUUAGAAUUUUAGAAAUGUUUAGUUGUGAAAUAUGACAAACAAUGAGCGUGUCUGGCUCAGAACCAGCCAAAGCACAAAAGUAGAUAUAAAUUUAGAAUUUAAUCACAUGACAUUCUGAACAUUUCAAUCACACCAGUGUGAUUGUACACAUCAAGGUGUUACUUUACAUUCAAAACUC
ensembl:lncRNA